rnacentral:rRNA from 1 species
GGUAGCUUGCUAUCCGGGUGGCGAGUGGCGGACGGGUGAGUAACGCGUAGGAAUCUACCUUUUCGUGGGGGAUAACCCGGGGAAACUCGGGCUAAUACCGCAUACGCCCUACGGGGGAAAGCGGGGGACCUUCGGGCCUCGCGCGGAACGAUGAGCCUGCGUCCUAUCAGGUAGUUGGUGAGGUAAUGGCUCACCAAGCCGACGACGGGUAGCUGGUCUGAGAGGACGACCAGCCACACUGGGGCUGAGACACGGCCCAGACUCCUACGGGAGGCAGCAGUGGGGAAUAUUGGACAAUGGGGGAAACCCUGAUCCAGCAAUACCGCGUGUGUGAAGAAGGCCUUCGGGUUGUAAAGCACUUUUAGCAGGAAAGAAAGACUAUGCGCUAAUACCGCACGGUUUUGACGUUACUUGCAGAAAAAGCACCGGCUAACUCCGUGCCAGCAGCCGCGGUGAUACGGAGGGUGCAAGCGUUAAUCGGAAUUACUGGGCGUAAAGCGCGCGUAGGCGGCUUGUUAAGUCGGAUGUGAAAUCCCCGGGCUCAACCUGGGAACUGCAUUCGAUACUGGCUGGCUAGAGUGUGGUAGAGGGAAGUGGAAUUCCAGGUGUAGCGGUGAAAUGCGUAGAUAUCUGGGGGAACAUCAGUGGCGAAGGCGGCUUCCUGGACCAACACUGACGCUGAGGCGCGAAAGCGUGGGGAGCAAACAGGAUUAGAUACCCUGGUAGUCCACGCCGUAAACGAUGUCAACUAGCCGUAGGGAGCAUCUGGCUCUUUGUGGCGCAGCUAACGCGAUAAGUUGACCGCCUGGGGAGUACGGCCGCAAGGCUAAAACUCAAAUGAAUUGACGGGGGCCCGCACAAGCGGUGGAGCAUGUGGUUUAAUUCGAUGCAACGCGAAAAACCUUACC